GAAGGUAGUCUCUGUCCAGUGAAGUUGGCUUAAAUGACUGCGGUAUAUUGACUGUGUGAUGGUAGCAUAAUAAUUUUUUUGUUAAUUGCAAGGUGGGAUGAAUGAGUUAACGCAAUGAGAUCUUUAUUUUGCUUUUAAAAAAAAUUAGUUUCAGGGUUAAAAACCCCUGGUGGUUUAGGGGGACGACAAGACCCUAGAAAUUUAUGUGUAAGAAUUUUUGUACUUUAGCUGGGGCGGCUUGAAUUUAAUCUAUUUUUGGGAAAACAAAUUGUUUGGGGAAGAUUUUAUGAUAUAACAUUGGUUUAUUUUUUAUAAAAAAAUUACUCUAGGGACAACAGCGUAAUUAUUUUGAAUAGACCGUAUUGAUAAUAUAGUUUGCGACCUCGAUGUUGAAUUAAAUAUUUUACUUCUGGGCAGAAAAAGGAGAGGAAGGUUUGUUCACCCUUUAAAUGUUA
rnacentral:rRNA from 1 species